rnacentral:lncRNA from 1 species
CACCUCCAUCUUUCUCUCUCUCUCUCACUGCUUCCUCUGGGGGAAGUCAGCUACUACCUAGUGAAGACACUCAGGUAGCCUCCUGUCAAGUCACAGAGAUCUCUUAACAACCAUCUGAGAGAGCUUGGAAGCAGACCAUUGAACCCCAGACAAGCUUUGCGAUGAGACGGCAACCCCAGCUUCCGGCUUGGCUACAGCCUAAGACACCCUGAGCCAGAACCAUCCAGCUAAGCCCCUCGCAGAUUCCCCACCCACGAAAAUGCUGAGAUGACACAUAAAUUUCUUUAGCUGUGUAGCUGGGCUGGAAGGCUGCGGUUGGCUGAAGGCCGACUCCUGUGAUUGACGGAAAGGAAACAGCCAUUGAAAGAGGAGGAGCAAGAAAAUUGGCACUAGUUGCCUACUUAAAGCUAAAAAUUAGAAAAAUAAAUUAAUAAGAACUUUCAAAAUGUGUACAUGAUCUUUUUUUAUUGACUAGAAAAC